rnacentral:lncRNA from 1 species
ACUCCUCCUUUUACCCACCCGGGAGCCGGCAGGCCUAACCCUGAGACCCCUGGCUCCCUCAACUGCAGGUGUCCACACAGCAGGCUGAAGUGGAACUGCGGCGGCUGCGUGAGGAGAACCAGCGCCUCCGCCAGGAGCUAGGCUCCGAGCCGCAGGGUGAGUGCAAGCCCUGCUGGAGUAGAGCGAGCUGGGGACAGCCGGGGCCUGCGCACCCCAGAGACCGGUGGUGCUAAAAACACCCCUUCCUCAGAGGAGCGCGCGCUGCUCCGACAGCUCAAGGAGGUGACAGACAGACAGCGGGAUGAGCUUCGGGCACACAACCGAGAUCUGCUGCGCCGAAGCCAGGAGACCGAAGCGGUGAGGGCGGGGCCGGACAGGAGCACAGAGUUGGGUGGGGCCGCUGCGGCCUUCGGAGUCCCGCCCCCUAACUCUCUCGCUCCACUCCCAGCUGCAGGAACAGCUGCAGCGCCUCCUGCUGGUCAACUCUGAGCUGAGGCACAAGCUGGCCGCAGUGCAGACCCAAUUGAGGGCGGCGCGGGACCGGGAGAGAGAGCGCCAGACAGCUCGGGAUCGUUCCCAACAGC